AGACUAUUUAAACAUUUUUCUUGAGAGUAGGAAGAUUGCUGAGGUACAAUUGCUUGGUGAUUGCAGCCAAAUAGCUUCUGUAAUUUGCCCUGUCCUGCCAAGCUGUUGCUUGCUGGAAUGUGCUGCUUAAGCAGCAGUCUGCCAUAAGCAGCUCUUUCCACACAUGCUGCCAGAUCAAGCACUUUCAACUGGCAAGUUGCUUGGUAGAGGAGGAAGCUAUGGAUCUUAGUUCUUCCUAUACUGAUGAUUGUUUUAUAGAGAGAAAUUUAACUUGAAUUUUUUUUUCCUUCAGAGGCAGCCUUCAAGAAGGGAGUUUUGCAGUAAAUUGCACUGUUGAUUAGAAGAACUAAGAGCUGCUGCUGCAUUAUUAUAGCAACAAAAUUCUGGUCUUAGGACAGGGUACUAAAAUACCCUGCAGACUCAACAUUUUUGAAAUUACAUGAUAGCAUCAUGGAAGAAGAGAAAUGCUGCAGUGGUGCAAAUGUUUGAGGUGUGUCUCUUGUGCUUCUGCAAGUAAAGGAGCAUCUUGGACUUGAAUCUAUCCUGCUGUAGCUACUUGCCUGUGUGAGUGCAGACAAAAGGGAAACCUUGCAUCCAAAGUAAAAAGCUGAAUUACUGUACACUCUGGAGCUGCAGCUGUUAUGCAUUUUUGUUUGGAAAAAUUUAGACUGACUUGUACACAUUGACUGUGCAAUAUGGGCCCAGGGAACUGGCAUG